UUUGAUCCUGGCUCAGGACGAACGCUGGCGGCGUGCUUAACACAUGCAAGUCGAGCGGUAAGGCCCUUCGGGGUACACGAGCGGCGAACGGGUGAGUAACACGUGAGUAACCUGCCCCUGACUCUGGGAUAAGCCCGGGAAACCGGGUCUAAUACCGGAUAUGACUCCUGCUCGCAUGGGUGGGGGUGGAAAGGUUGGUUUUCCUUCCGGUCGGGGAUGGGCUCGCGGCCUAUCAGCUUGUUGGUGGGGUGACGGCCUACCAAGGCGAUGACGGGUAGCCGGCCUGAGAGGGCGACCGGCCACACUGGGACUGAGACACGGCCCAGACUCCUGCGGGAGGCAGCAGUGGGGAAUAUUGCGCAAUGGGCGG
rnacentral:rRNA from 1 species